UGGAUCCAGACUUUGAUUCUGGCUCAGGAUGAACGCUAGCUACAGGCUUAACACAUGCAAGUCGAGGGGAAACGACAUCGAAAGCUUGCUUUUGAUGGGCGUCGACCGGCGCACGGGUGAGUAACGCGUAUCCAACCUGCCCACCACUUGGGGAUAACCUUGCGAAAGUAAGACUAAUACCCAAUGAUAUCUCUAGAAGACAUCUGAAAGAGAUUAAAGAUUUAUCGGUGAUGGAUGGGGAUGCGUCUGAUUAGCUUGUUGGCGGGGUAACGGCCCACCAAGGCAACGAUCAGUAGGGGUUCUGAGAGGAAGGUCCCCCACAUUGGAACUGAGACACGGUCCAAACUCCUACGGGAGGCAGCAGUGAGGAAUAUUGGUCAAUGGACGAGAGUCCGAACCAGCCAAGUAGCGUGCAGGAUGACGGCCCUAUGGGUUGUAAACUGCUUUUAUAAGGGAAUAAAGUGAGUCUCGUGAGACUUUUUGCAUGUACCUUAUGAAUAAGGACCGGCUAAUUCCGUGCCAGCAGCCGCGGUAAUACGGAAGGUCCGGGCGUUAUCCGGAUUUA
rnacentral:rRNA from 1 species